ACGAGCCCUUUACUGACGCUAAAGCUCGAAGGUGCGGGUAUCGAACAGGAUUAGAUACCCUGGUAGUCCGCACGGUAAACGAUGGAUGCCCGCUGUUGGCGAUAUACAGCCAGUGGCCAAGCGAAAGCGUUAAGCAUCCCACCUGGGGAGUACGCCGGCAACGGUGAAACUCAAAGGAAUUGACGGGGGCCCGCACAAGCGGAGGAACAUGUGGUUUAAUUCGAUGAUACGCGAGGAACCUUACCCGGGCUUGAACUGCAGCAGAACGAUAGAGAGAUCUUGAGGCCCUUCGGGGCUGCUGUGGAGGUGCUGCAUGGUUGUCGUCAGCUCGUGCCGUGAGGUGUCGGCUUAAGUGCCAUAACGAGCGCAACCCCUUUCGCCAGUUGCCAUCAGGUGAUGCUGGGCACUCCGGCGACACUGCCACCGCAAGGUGUGAGGAAGGUGGGGAUGACGUCAAAUCAGCACGGCCCUUACGUCCGGGGCUACACACGUGUUACAAUGGGGAGUACAGAGAGUCAGGCGUUGGCAACACCGCCUUAAUCAAUAAAGCUCUCCUCAGUUCGGAUUGGGGUCUGCAACCCGACCCCAUGAAGCUGGAUU
rnacentral:rRNA from 1 species